GUAGAAAAUGUGGAGAUCGCUAGAUGCAUGUUUUCUGUGCGAGGCUACGGAAGGGGAAGUUUCAUAUCAGGAAAAAGCGUGCAUAACCAGCGUAUUGAACGUCUUUGGCGCGACAUAUGGAUGGCUGUAACCAACAUCUUCUAUGAUGUUUUACACACUCUCGAGGAGGAAGGGUUACUAGAUCCAGCCAACAAGCCUCCACAUGUUUUGUUGUCAUUAUGUGUUCCUGCCGCGCCUCCAGGCCAGCCUUGAUUCCUUUACUUGUGGAUAGAAUAACCAUCCUCUCCGCACAGAGGGCAAUCGAAGCCCCAACCAAAUGUGGGAAAUCGGGCUGAUUCAAAACCCUGUCGAUCCUCCAGAAACUGAGAAUCCUCAAGAUGAAGACUCUGACCGGGACAUGACCAGAAUCCCUGACCAGCCGUCUGGAGGAAUUGUAGUUCCUCCAGUAGAUUGCAAAUUAACUGAGGAACUGAAUGCCCAGCUGCAAGCUGUUGUUGACCCAACCUCACAAUCUCAAAACUUUGGCAGGGACAAAUAUUUAGUGGCGUUACAUUUUGUGAUCCUUCAUUCUUAAAUGACAGUGAAAUGUUUACAAUGUA